rnacentral:pre_miRNA from 1 species
CUUGUACUCCCUCCGUCCGAAAAUACUUGUCAUUGAAAUGGAUGUAUCUGGAUGUAUUUUAGUUCUAGACACAUCCAUUUUGAUGACAAGUAAUUUCGGACGGAGGGAGUACUUG